UAGCUCAAUUGGUAGAGCAUGGUGUUUGCAACGCCAGGGUUGUGGGUUCGAUUCCUAC
rnacentral:tRNA from 1 species